CUUCUCCUACACUGGGGCUUGAGCUUUCACAAGACCAAGGGCCUCUCCACUUAACUGUCUCCCCACCACACUGAACAUUUUUUGCCUCAAUUUUAAUAUAUGAUUUUGUGAUCCAGUCAAUUUAUGAAUUAUAUAAUAAUAAUGAUGAAUUUUUUACAUUCAUACAAUUUCUGUCAAUGAUUGUUUUAGAAAGUUUCCUUCAUGUCUCUAAGAGUGCUAAAAUCUGAGUAAGAAUACAGCAUAAGAGUGAAAUACUUAACUUUUGCCCUAGAUCCUUUCUAUAAUUCCAAUUAUUACAUUGUACAGUAGCCUUAGCUUUCAAAAACAUAUCAACUUGAAAUAUCAACUUGAUAACAUGGCCUUUAUGAUGUAACCCGAUACACUCAUUGUUAGCUCUUUUGGAGAGUCAAUAUUAAACAAAUAAAUCAGAUUGUUUCACACUGUUGGAAAUCUUACUUUAGUAAACAUGCUUAGUCCUGUCAUAACAAAUUUCAAGGAACAGCAAAGUAUAAAACACAAAAAAUAAAUAAGGGUUAUUAAUUUAAAUUCAGAGAUAUGCAAAGUAUUAAAUUUUCAUCUGACAGAUUUGUGUUCCACAAUGCAGUAAAGUACUGUGCAUAAAUGAAAUGACCUCCUGAAUUUCCCUGUACAGUUACUUCGUCAGGACAUCUAAAGGCUUGAAUUUCUGAAUAAAUGAUUCUUCUAGAAAAGUCCAUGAAUAUUCAGGAAAGAAUGGUAAAGGUGAAUGAAUAGAUUUUAAUUCUUCCAUAUUUCUAUUAGCAAAUAUAAGUCAAGUGAAAUUUAAACGCAUAUUUUUCUGUUCUUAAACUUCUAUUCAUACUACUGCUUUGUUAGAUUAAGAAGGAACAAAUCAUGUAAAUUCUAUGGAUACACUUGAGAGGAUACAUUUUUAAAUCAUUUUGGGUGUUACUCCAAGCACAAUGUUCACGAACCAUGGAAGGAUUGGACAUUACUGCUCAAGGAAUGUCAAUCUAGUGAAGGCCUGAAAAUCAAGUACUGUGGUAUCAAUAUAAUAAAAAAGUUACUCUUUAAUCUUAAUAUACAUAUUUUUUUCUAAUUUGGAACCAAACUUAUUCCUGCAUAUAUACUAGGCAAGUACUUGCUACUGAGCAGAUCUAUACUCUUACCAUACCUUGUUCUUGUUUUUGUUUUUAUUAUUAUAUUUCAAUAUUUGUGUGUAACUAAAUUACCCAAGCAAGACUUGACACUGUGAUCCUUCUGCCCCAGCCUGCUGAGGAACUGCAAUUACAAGAUGUACUCUAUGAUUUUAAAGAACUUAAAUAUAACUUUUUACUUUUCAUACAGGAAUUUGCAAACCUGCAGGAAACACUGAAACUCCAAAGUAUCUCUUCCCCACCCAACCCACAUCACCAACAUUGAUGACGAUGUAACAGUGAGAUGACGAUGUAACAGUGCUCUGUGUGAGCAUAUGCUGUGCUUGCUGGAAGUUAUUUCUUCAGCCCACUAACACCUCAACUUGUUUUCCAGAAGUACCUGGGCUCAGGAACAAACUUGAUGGGAAUGAUUUAUGCCUGAGUGAUUUUCCUUUGGAUUCAAGGAUCACAUGUAAAACAGAUAUGUGCUAAUACCUUACAGGUCAUUUCUAGUCUGGGAAGACAUGCAUAAUUUGGGUAAACGGAAUUCCUGGAAUCAAAAUAGUACAUUUUUGUUUUUUCCAUCUUAAAUGGUAAGUCAGAGUUGGUUCAAAUGCAGAAAUUUCAAUUAAAUGAAGUUUGUCCUUACUCAUCAUGAUGAAAAAAAGUAGAUGCAUUGUCCUUUUCUCAUUAUUCUAAGCUUUUUUUCUAGAUUUGAAGACUUAAUAUUUAGACAUUCAAAUUAUUUGUAAUUAUUGGCUUUAUAAAACUACUUAAAUGUCAAGGAGGUCUUUAAAUUGCACAAGAAUGACAAAUUUUUGGAAAAUAAUUGGAUUAAAUGGCAAAAGAAUUUAUAAGAGUUUCUAUUAAAUAUAAGUGCUCAUACUGGAAUCCACUAACCUUUCUAAUUUAUAUUGAGAAAAACAUCCUGAAAUACAUACUUUCAUUUUUUAAGACUUUAGUAAUUUUAGGACAAGAAUAAAAUCACCUCUUGCAGGCUCUGUCCAUGCUGUUAGUUUUCUUGAGUAAAUUUUUAAAAGUCCAAAUUCAUAUUCCAUAUCAUUUUCUAUAAUAUGACCCUUAUCUAAUGUUACCUCUAAAAAUGCUUCUGUAUAAUAAAUUUUACCUAAAAGUUGACACUUUAAAUAAACAGGUAUAUAAAAUGCAAUUCAACACAAACACAUAACUUUCACCUUUAUAUUGUACCAUGAUAAUAAUGAUUCUAAAAUUAAAACAAAAAGAUUAAACAGAGAAUAAAGCAAGUUUCAAUUGUAAUAAACAAACUUUUAGUUGGGACAGAAAUAUGUUGAAUAUAUGCUCUUUUGGUAAAGAGAAGUCUGUGCUGGUAGAAAUGCCUAUCUAAGCUGAACUUUAGUAUUCUGUUCUUAGUUGUCAUCAAUAUCAUUGGUAUAGACAUUCAAAUGAAUUACCAUUAGUGUUUUAUAAAAUCACAACAUAUUUUUCAAUACAUCUCUCAAAUUUUUCAAGGGGGAUAAUUUCUGAGUUGUUUAAGGAGAAGAAAAAAUGCUUUUUCAGUUCCUACACUUGGAUGUUUAAAAAUAUGUAUAUUAGGUUAU
rnacentral:sRNA from 1 species